rnacentral:rRNA from 1 species
UGAAACAAGAUACAGGCUAGCGGCGGGACGGGUGAGUAACACGUGGGUAAACCUGCCCAAGAGAUCGGGGAUAACACCUGGGAAACAGAUGCUAAUACCCGGAUAACAACAGAUGAUGCCUAUCAACUGUUUAAAGAUGGUUCUGCUAUCACUCUUGGGAUGGACCUGCGGUGCAUUAGCUAGUUGGUAGGGGUAACGGGCCUACCCAAGCGGGAUGAUGCAUAGCCCGAGUUGAGAGACUGAUCGGGCCACAUUGGGACUGAGACACGGCCCAAAACUCCUACGGGAGGCAGCAGUAGGGAAUCUUCCACAAUGGACGCAAGUCUGAUGGAGCAACGCCGCGUGAGUGAAGAAGGGUUUCGGCUCGUAAAAGCUCUGUUGUUGGUGAAGAAGGACAGGGGUAGUAACUGACCUUUGUUUGACGGUAAUCAAUUAGAAAGUCACGGCUAACUACGUGCCAGCAGCCGCGGUAAU